UAUACCAAAUUAUAUAUACCGAGGCAAGCAGACCGACGCCGUCGCCCCGUCUCGCAGCCACCACCGCUCCCUGGGCCUACUCCAUGCGGAUUCCAUAUCAUGGACUAAUGCCGCUGCGACGCCUGGCCCGAUUAGGCAAUAUAUGUUAUUUUUUGUUUAAAUCCUAUAGGAAUUGCAAGUUUGCAGCCACAUGUUGACAUCUUGAUUCAACCCAUGAUACUUUCUUCGAUGUCUAUUUCUUUUUGUAAUGCAACCUUUUGCCCUGCAUAAAUGGCUACUAGGAGAGCACGAUGUCAGCUGCACCGACACUCAUGCCGAUGUAACUGAAUGUGCAAAUUGUUUCUUCAACAAAAAGCUGCAAUGUGAUUUGAAAGUACCAGUUUAUACACUGGAGGAUCGUGAAUUGAUGCAUAUAUUGGCUCAUAAAGUAACUAGGCUCUGAAUUGCGGAAUGAGGAGACGUGUGCUUAUAGUUGUGUGUUAGUCUCUCUACUCACUCAUCUAAAUAUGAAAAGGUACUGAAGUACAUCAGAAUUUUUUAUCCCAGUGCAUCAGAAUUAUUUCUUUGCUGCAGGGUUUCUGCUGCUAUUGUUAAAUCUUAAAGAAACAUCUGUUCCUGGUUCAGAUGUUUACAAGUUCCCUUUGUUCAAACAUGGAAAUGAUUUAUUUGCAAACUUCAAUGCAAAAUGGUUUCUUCUAUGCUUGUUCUGACCAUUGGAAUCUUCAAAGACCAGCGCCGCAAGAACAUGUCACUGGAGGCUCAAGAUACAAGGCAUAGCUGGAAGAGACAUCUUCCCAAGGUGUGCUCGCAAGGUCCAGGGCGAUUACAUACGCGGGGAAUGCAGAUGCAUAUGAUAAGCUCCGUGUCGACAUGACGAACAAGCACCAGUUGGGAGCCCAGAUGAAGAAGGCUGCCGAUGGGAGAAAAAGGAGAAGCGAUGAGAUGUUUAUGGCAGCUUAUGGAUGAUGUUAUCUUAGUUUGUCGAUUCUGUUUUGGUCGACUCAGAGAUCUUGUUUCGUGUCUGAAGAUCCCUUUUUGCCCACUGUUCAAACCAUCAUAAAUUGUCAAACAAUGCACUUCAAAUAAUUAAGUUAGGAAUCACAUGAAUAUUUUA